UCUGCGUCUAGUCAUCUCUAGAAAUUUUAGAUUGGAUGUUGGAAAGUGUAAGUAAUAUAUUCUUGAAAAUCAGGAUUUUGUUGUCUUUUUUAAAAAGCACUGCGCUUUGUUGUGGUAGGCAGCAAAGUUACUAGUGAUUUAGUUUGAUCCAUUCAAGGCCUUUUUUAAAGCACUUUCCUGGUGGGCUUUUAAUCUAUGAUUUAGUUUUUCUAUUAAUGUAUGGUUCUUCUUAGGAUCUCAGUACACUGAAUGUACUACAUGUUCAAUAAGAACUCUUCCAGCCCUGUUUGAGAUCUUAGAAUUCUUCACCUUCUGACUCACUGACACCUUCUUCUUUUCCAUACUCAUGGAAAUUUACACACCGUCAUUUUAUUAUUCAUCAGAGAACCGAAAGGAUUUCUAUGAAGAUUUCUCAAGUUCUUUUUCUGGAUAGCUUACUCCACCUGGGGAUUCUUUCCCUAAACAUUUUAGCUGCCUCAGAACUCCUGAACUCUGAUCUGUUUCCUCAACUCGUUGAGACUACACAGCUUGUGAUUCCCUCAUUGUUCUGUGGUCCAGAAGGUGCCUCUGUGCAAAAAGCCAAUUCAAUCAUGGGGGUUUCCUUAUUUGUUUGUUUGCCUUUCCUGAGCUAUGUAUUGUCCAAUAUCUGGAAGCAGUUAUUUCAUGUUUUUAUCUAAUUUCUAGCUGUUUAAGGUAGAAAAGUAAGCCCCAUCACUGUUAAUCCAUCAUCACUGGAAGUAGAAGGAUUGGUAAGGAUGAAACAGGUGAUAAAAUCAGCAUUGGAGACAGGGAAGACAAGGCAUGCUCCAAUGAAGUGAAAAGAAUUAAAAUCCCUCUGUAACCAUUGUUAGAACAAUCCUGCAUAAAUCAAAGAUAUUUUAAGAA